rnacentral:rRNA from 1 species
AUUGAACGCUGGCGGCAGGCCUAACACAUGCAAGUCGAGCGAGCGGCGGACGGGUGAGUAAUGUAUGGGGACUGCCCGAUAGAGGGGGCUAACUACUGUAUACGGUGGCUAAUACCGCAUACUAUCGUAUUUCCCAUAUGGGAUUAGCUAGUAGUUGGGGUAAAGUCUCAAUUAGGUGACGAUCUCUAGCUGGUCUGAGAGGAUGAUCGGCCACACGGGGACUGAGACACGGCCCAGACUCCUACGGAGGCAGCAGUGGGGAAUAUUGCACAAUGGGCGCAAGCCUGAUGCAGCCAUGCCGCGUGUAUGAAGAAGGCCUUAGGGUUGUAAAGUACUUUCAGCGGGGAGGCGUUACCCGCAGAAGAAGCACCGGCUAACUCCGUGUCAGCCGCCGCGGUAAUAC